rnacentral:lncRNA from 1 species
UCAUUUCUUUAAUGUAAUCAAAGUAUCGUUAAUAUUUUUUUUAGAGUUUGCAAAAGCUAUUCAAAAUCAGAUUGUCUACAAUACAAAGAAUGCAAAACAUGUAAUAUCAUAGGAUUUAUUUGAUAAACAAUGAAUGAUAUUUUUUCAUUUCAUGUUCUAAUUUUAAUUCACUUUUUUCUAUUUUGUUGUGACAGAGACAGCAUGGCUGAAUAUAUUCACCAUCUCCGCCAGCUUGAUCGGAACAGAGAGUUGAUAGGCAGACCUCAGAGAGGCCAUCGUGACCCAUAAACCCUUUUGAAGUGUAUGAUGAUGAGUCAUUUCGGACCAGGUACAGGUUUUCCAAAGAGACAGCGCUCUACCUCAUCAACUUGGUGGAUGAAGAGCUGAGGAGGACGGCAGACAGAAACGACCCAAUACCUAUACAGGUAGUGACAGCACUUCGAUUCUAUGCUGUUGGGUCAUUCCAAAAGAUGCAUGGUGAUGAGGCACAACUUUCACAGUCUUCUGUAUGCAGAGUCAUCAAAGACGUGUCAGAAGCGUUUGCAA